GUUAGCUCAGCGGUAGAGCACUACCUUGACAUGGUAGGGGUCACAGUUUCGAUCCCUGUAC
rnacentral:tRNA from 1 species